AGACCCGUGUAAUCACCACCCCCAUCCAGAGACACAGCAUUUCUGUCACCCAAAAGGCUCCCUUAUGCCCCAUCGUGGUCAGACCUGCCGCCCCCCCCCAGAGGGGACUUCUCUUCUGAUCGCUAUCACCACGUGUGAGUCUUGUCUGGGCUGUUUUUGAGCUCCAUGUAAGCAGAAUCACACUGGCUUCUUCUGUUUGGCGUAAUGCCUGUGAGAUCCACUCGCCUGUCUUGCCGUAUCUGUCAGCUCUCUCUCCCAUUCCCGUUCUUCUCAAUCAAACGAGAUCCAGUUCAGGAAGCCUGGCUCCUCCUUUCUCCUGCCCUCCCCUCCCGGGUGCAUUCAGGCCCCAAACCAGUCCUCCCUGUCCGUGUGUUGGCUGAGCCCACUGCCCCUCACCCAGGCUGCAGAGUGACCCUGGGAGGUCCUGCUGGUGACUGCAUGUCUCAGCCUCCUGGUCAACCUGAGGACUGGAGGACCGCCGCAGGCCAUUCUUUCCAGCAUUUCUCACUCAUGUUGAGGCCUUCGUGAGCAUCCAUCAGGCACUUGGAGUGAACAUGGGGACGUUUUUGUGGGCUCUCCUCCUCCCCUGGUACCUGCUUAGCACAAGCCAUGCUCAGUUUGGAGGUUCCAGCUCCCAAACAGGCAGUAGAAGUGGAGGUCUCCUG